rnacentral:rRNA from 1 species
AGAGUUUGAUCCUGGCUCAGAACGAACGCUGGCGGCGUGGAUAAGACAUGCAAGUCGAACGCUGAUUAGGGGGUAGCAAUAUUUCCUAGUCGGAGUGGCGCAAGGGUGCGUAACACGUGGGUAAUCUGCCGUGAAGACUGGGAUAACUCGCUGAAAGGCGAGCUAAUACCGGAUGUGAUUGCUAUUUGGCAUCAGAUGGCAAUGGAAGCUGGGGACCGUAAGGCCUGGCACUUCACGAUGAGCCCGCGGCCUAUCAGCUAGUUGGUGAGGUAACGGCUCACCAAGGCUAAGACGGGUAGCUGGUCUGAGAGGACGACCAGCCACACUGGAACUGAGACACGGUCCAGACACCUACGGGUGGCAGCAGUCGAGAAUUUUUCACAAUGGGGGCAACCCAGAUGGAGCGACGCCGCGUGGAGGAUGAAGGUCUUCGGAUUGUAAACUCCUGUCAUUGGUGAACAAGAUGGGCGGGGUAACUCCUUGCCUGUUUGCUAGUAGCCGAAGAGGAAGGGACGGCUAACUCUGUGCCAGCCGCCGCGGUAAUUC